rnacentral:rRNA from 1 species
GACGAACGCUGGCGGCGUGCUUAACACAUGCAAGUCGAACGGAAAGGCCCUGCUUUUGUGGGGUGCUCGAGUGGCGAACGGGUGAGUAACACGUGAGUAACCUGCCCUUGACUUUGGGAUAACUUCAGGAAACUGGGGCUAAUACCGGAUAGGAGCUCCUGCUGCAUGGUGGGGGUUGGAAAGUUUCGGCGGUUGGGGAUGGACUGGCGGCUUAUCAGCUUGUUGGUGGGGUAGUGGCUUACCAAGGCUUUGACGGGUAGCCGGCCUGAGAGGGUGACCGGCCACAUUGGGACUGAGAUACGGCCCAGACGCCUACGGGAGGCAGCAGUGGGGAAUAUUGCACAAUGGGCGGAAGCCUGAUGCAGCAGCGCCGCGUGCGGGAUGACGUCCUUCGGGUCGUAAACCGCUUUCGCCUGUGACGAAGCGUGAGUGACGGUAAUGGGUAAAGAAGCACCGGCUAACUACGUG